rnacentral:lncRNA from 1 species
UAAUCCCCACAGCCACACCCAGAGGAGUGACUACUCCAAAGAGGUUGGAAGAAAAUAAUGCAAGGACUACAGAAAUUUCCAGAAGAAGAGUGAGUGUUUAGAGCAGACAAAACAGCCAAUGGAAGCCCUACUAAGGUUCCUCUCUGGGAGUGGCGCUUCUUGACAAGGGUUUUAGGAAGUGUGCCCUUGUUAGAGUAGAUGCAGCCUUGUUGGAGGAAGUAUGCCUCUGGGGUGAGCUUUGGAAUUUCAAAUGCUCACGCCAGGCCCAGUGUCUCUCUCACCUGCUGCUUCUGGAUCUGAUACAGAGCUCUCCGUACUCUCCAGCACCAUGUCUGCCUACAUGCUGCCACGCUUCCUGCCAUGACAAAGGGCUACAUGUCUGAAUGAUAAGCAAGCCACAAUUAAACGCUUUAUUUUCUAAGAGUUUCUGUGACCGUGUGUCUCUUCACAGCAAUAAACACUGGAACUAAAACAUUGUAGAAUAUAAUAAAAAGAGAAAUC